rnacentral:lncRNA from 1 species
CCGAUCAGACUAAUAAUACUUAAGUUAUGAGUUCUGACAUAUUUCAAUAUUCAACUAUGGCGUGGAUAUUGUUAAUAUUAUUUUUAUGAAGAUAGGUGUAGCUAAAUUGUUGAGUUGUGACCAGUUCUGAAAUGCUAAUAUCCUCUGAGCCAUAAUAAUGUAGAAGACAUUAAUGAAGAACUAUAAUACAUUGGUGAUUUUGAGUUUUGUGCUCUAUUUUAUUAUGUUUCACCUUUAUUUGGAGGGGGUAGGGGUAGGGUGGGGGUGAAUUAACUUUUAUCUGUUCAACAUUUUAUUUAUCAUAGUGAAGAGGUAUAUAUAUCAUAAUCAUUGAAACAAGCGUAUUAAAACGGCUGUGAUAUGUUGUAUCACUAGUAAGUUAUUCUUUGUUUGCUCAUAACUAGCAAACCUGUUAGUUUUUAAGUUUUGUAACCGAAAGCUAUGACUUUGUAUAAGCACUAGCAGUAGGGGUUGUCUAGUUUAUGUAUAUUAGCUGGAGAAGUGAAUUAAUGAACUUAAUAAAGUCAGGGCUUAAAUAAUUUUGUAGUCGAUAAUAUACAGUUUUUCUGUUUAGCCCCAAAAAAAUUCUUGUUGACUUCAAUUCAUAAAACAUAGAAAACUUUAAUGUUCAUCGUUGCAUUGGUUUUAGUCCUUGCAAUUCUUGUUUGUGUUAGAAUCCGUUCCUACAUACUCUCUAUUCCAGGGACUAACAUCAAUAUGAUCUACAUAUUUUGGAGACUAAUUCCAACAUAUGUACAGAUAUUACAAGGACUUAACCAAAACAAGGACAAAAAGCGACUUUUCCUUUUAGGGAUUCAAACCAGGAAUAAUUUGUUAUAGGGAGUAAAGCCAAAAUUGGUGCAUGUUACUGGGACUAAAAAGAUAUUUCACCCUAUAUAGUCAAAUCUAGUGGCAACAGUAAAGAGCCAUUACUUUAAAUGCGAUUAAGUAUUUCACACCCAACUGACAUGGGACUGACGCCUGCAUCAGUGCUGUUAGGUUGGAACAAGUGGUCCAUCCACAACUGAGGUGGACAAACUGGGAUCUAAAAUACCUAUUGAUGCAGGGCAGAAGAUUGAAAGGAAUAUGCUAUCACUCCAGUAAAUGACUUAGAAUCCACUUGGUAGAUACAUUGAAUGCAAGGAAUGUUUUUGAAUCAAUACGGAUAAUUGACAAUAUUAGUUGUAAAGUAUCCCAUAUGAUCACAAUGAAUAAUGAAAGUUACAAUAAUACACAAUUACAUAGUUUUUCAUGCUUGGCUGCUUGUUGUGAAUUCGAUUCCAUGGGUAAUGUUGUUUCUUUUUGCUAGGUUAUACUCUAAUUCAAUUAUUUGCUGGUUUUGUUUAGUUUCAUGUUUAUUUAUGGAAACAUGAUAUGUGGCCUUAUUUCUUACUCAUAAACACUGGUGUUCUAAGACGAAGAUGCUGCCUAUUUUUAACUUUGGAGGAGAAAUGUUAUAUAGUUUUGUAGCAGCAUAUAAUUUUGAGUUCACCAUAAAUGUACUCAGGUAUGGACCAUUCUGGAUUUGCACUACAUUAAUAUUUGUAGCAGCGUCUAUUGGAACAUUUGUGACAUAUAUAGCACACAAGUUGAAGGAUAAGGAAUGGGACUAUGACAUAAAUCUGGUGACUUGGUCUGCUGGUUUGUUUUAUGGCUAUGUUACCAUCGUUCCUCUUUGCCUGUAUGUAAUCCUUAAAUACUUCUCUGUACCGGCGGGACUUGUUCAACUAUUCUGCCUAUAUGGAUAUUCCCUGUUUGUCUUUAUUCCAGCUCUGGUAAGUCACUUCUCUUCAAUUUUCUCCCUCUUAUUUUAAAGAAGCAUAUAAAGUUUGACAUCUUAACGGCAUUAUUAUAUUAUUAUAUCCUGAAAUGUGAAACCGUUUGUUUGGUGCAGUGUAUGUCGAUUGUUCCACUGGAUAUAUUCAGAUGGGUGGUUGCAGGUGUGGCAGGGCUCAUGUCGGCAACAUUUGUCGCACUUAACCUCCGGGCACAUAUCAAGUCGGCAGGCGAAAGGUGGUUCUUCAUUGUUGCUGGCAUUUUUCUGUUGCAGUUGGCACUAUCUGUUGUAUUAAAGAUCUACCUCUUCACUGUAUCAGUUUAAAAGAAAACUUUGAAUGUGUGAAUGAAAUAUAUAUAACGACGAAAAAGCUUUUUGGCCGUUUAGGUACUCAUUAUUACGGUUUAGUUGAAAUAUAAUUCACAGAUUAAACCUUUGUGUAUUCAUUCAUUUGUGGCAAUAUAAUGUGAGUAACCUGUGAUUUUUUUUCAUAACUAGAGUAGCACUCUGCAUUUGUCGCUGACAUAAUAACUGAGGGCAACUUGGGCUUUUGUAGUUUUUUCAGUUAAUAUCUUGAUGUUGGGGGUAUUUUCUUUUGUUGAUUGCGUUGCAUGAUUGAACUCGAGUCAAAGUUAUGAAAGUUACAAAUAUUUUAUAAACGGAAAUGUUGUUUGUAGCGAACUGUAUCUUCCUGACAAGUCAUGAACCUACAUGAUUGGUCUAUUUCGCCACUUUUCCUUCGUGAAGUUCUGACCACUCUUUUAAGAACUAAACAUGUAAUACUUCGUGAAUAUGCUAUGCUUGUGCGUCGCGAUAUACAGCAGCGUUCUUUUAAAAAUGAUGUUUUGGAAUGAUUUGAGAAGAUCACGAGCAUAGCUUGGCUCUCAACUUCCAUUAUCUUCGUGAAGGAAGCAAUUAGCACAAUGAGUGAAACCUUUAGUACGAUUUUUAUCCCAUAAAAAUUUAAAUUUAAUUUAAACCAGAUUGAAGUAAAUUAAAUUUAAACCAUUAUACGUCGCACUUUACAAACCAAUGAAUUUAAUAUGCUUUAUUAAACAAUUUUCAGAUGCAGAAAUCAUAUCUAUCAUCAGUGGGUCAAAUUAACACGAUAAUAUGCCUCCAGAACCUAACUAGAAUUAGCAUUGCAUGGUAAAAAGUCAACACAAUCUCAGAGAAGCAUUUCAUCGUGCUUAGUAUUUACCAGAAAAUUUGGCAAUUAUCAUCGGUUCGUACUUCAUCAUAUCUGAUUUUAAAUACAAGCUGAAAUACAAAUAGUGUAGUCUUGAUUCGACAUUAGAUAUGUGAUAAGAGUUCAUAAAAUAAUUGCCACACAAGUUUAUGACUAAAAUUGGGGUGGGGGUUGGGAUUGGGAGGCCCACUCAUGUGAGUUCUGCAAAGUAAGCAACAUCAACACAUGAAGAGCCCAUCACCCCUCCAUAAAUUCUUGCACCAAUUCAUGGAUGCGGCGACCGGCUCUCACCGCUCGCUUUGUUUUCCUUACUCAUUAGUUUAAGGCAACGAUAAUCGUAGCAAUAACCUUCUUAUUUAUACACUACAUGUUGGCUUCUUGAAAACAAUAUAACCGAUGUGGGACUUUAACUACAUUAUUACUAGCAUUAUAAUAGCUCCAUCUUCUCCUUCUUCUUCGUCACCACCAAACGUCGGAGUCAUGCUCGUUCCUCUGUUCAUGUCGAACUGUGCGACUCAUGUAGAUUCAUUUUCAAAACCUUUAUCUGGUUCUGAUGAACCCCAGCAGGGUGGUUGGCUUCGGAAUUUUGCAGUUGCUGCUUACAAACCAUACUUUGACGUUGACACUUCAGAUGUUUUGGAGAGGAUUAUAGACUCACUUUUUCCAUUCAGAGGAACUUUUAAUGAAAAAACUUCUACCAACCCUGAUUUGUAAGUAGACCUUUUCUUUUGCUCAUUUAAUGGACCGAUCAGACUAAUAAUACUUAAGUUAUGAGUUCUGACAUAUUUCAAUAUUCAACUAUGGCGUGGAUAUUGUUAAUAUUAUUUUUAUGAAGAAUAGGUGUAGCUAAAUUGUUUUGAGUUGUGACCAGUUCUGAAAUGCUAAUGUCCUCUGAGCCAUAAUAAUGUAGAAGACAUCAAUGAAGAACUAUAAUACAUUGGUGAUUUUGAGUUUUGUGCUCUAUUUUAUUAUGUUUCACCUUUAUUUGGAG